rnacentral:rRNA from 1 species
CCUACGGGAGGCAGCAGUGAGGAAUAUUGGUCAAUGGGCGCGAGCCUGAACCAGCCAAGUAGCGUGAAGGAUGACUGCCCUACGGGUUGUACACUUCUUUUAUAAAGGAAUAAAGUGAGGCACGUGUGCCUUUUUGUAUGUACUUUAUGAAUAAGGAUCGGCUAACUCCGUGCCAGCAGCCGCGGUAAUACGGAGGAUGCGAGCGUUAUCCGGAUUUAUUGGGUUUAAAGGGUGCGUAGGCGGAUCGUUAAGUCAGUGGUCAAAUUGAGGGGCUCAACCCCUUCCCGCCAGUGAAACUGGCGUUCUUGAGUGGAAGAGAAGUAUGCGGAAUGCGUGGUGUAGCGGUGAAAUGCAUAGAUAUCACGCAGAACCCCGAUUGCGAAGGCAGCAUGCCGGCUUCCGACUGACGCUGAAGCACGAAAGCGUGGGGAUUGAACAGGAUUAGAUACCCCUGUAGUC